ACAGCAGCAGCCACGGUAAUACGUAGGUGGCAAGCGUUGUCCGGAAUCAUUGGGCGUAAAGGGCUCGCAGGCGGUUUCUUAAGUCUGAUGUGAAAGCCCCCGGCUCAACCGGGGAGGGUCAUUGGAAACUGGGAAACUUGAGUGCAGAAGAGGAGAGUGGAAUUCCACGUGUAGCGGUGAAAUGCGUAGAGAUGUGGAGGAACACCAGUGGCGAAGGCGACUCUCUGGUCUGUAACUGACGCUGAGGAGCGAAAGCGUGGGGAGCGAACAGGAUUAGAUACCCCGGUAGUCCCUGUCUCUUAUAC
rnacentral:rRNA from 1 species